rnacentral:lncRNA from 1 species
UGGGCAUGGGGAAAAAAAGUAACCCUAGUUUAAAUGGUCUUCCCUACAGAAAAUAUAUACUGUUACUAUGUCUUUAAGAAAAAUAUAAUACUGGGGAGUCAGUUUAACUGUCAUGUAGCAACAGUUAACUGUCGUGGCCUACACUCUGUAUGAGGCAUGAAGAGAAGGUCCUUUCGUCAAGAAUGAAGUGAGUUAAUCGCCAUGGAGAAAGAGUCUGAAGAGACAUUUGAGAAGAAUGAGUUUAACUCUUAUUCUGUAGAGAAGACAUCUCGAGAAGAAGCUUAGAAGUGCCAUCCUGAGAGAGCAGAAAAUUGUUAGACUUUGGUUUCAGCACUGAGGAAGAGCCAGAAGCUGAUGAUAGGUGAUUGGCUGUGACCUUUCCCAUAAAGCAACUAGUGGUUUGACAACCAAUCCAUCCAAGAAGAACUCUAAGAGGGAUUUAGGUUGGGCCUCAAAUGAGCAAUGAUUCACCUUCAAGCUGCUUCUUCCUCUAUGGCCAGCCGCUCUACCUCUUCUGCCCCAAAACCGAGGGGGGAGAUGUGCUAUUUGCUCAGCGAUUCUCUCAGCCUCUUUCCCUAAUUUGCCUUAUUAUUCACGUGACCUGGAUAUUCCUAUAGAAAAAUUCGGCAUCUCCUUAUAGAAAUAAUUAGAUAUGAUGGCAGUGUGAUCCCCACUGGUAAAAACCACAUUCCAAAAAUGAGCUUUGAUUUCAGAGAGAGAGAGAGAGAGAGAGAACACCCACCGAAGCCUUGCAUAACAAUGUUCUGCCUGGCAGUUCAGGGCACCAAGCUCCUGGCUGG